AUACUUUUUUGACAGGGGAGUUUUAGCCAUUAUCACUAAGGUGGCUCUCCCAGGGCGUAGCUGGUUCAUUGCUCUCCAAGCCCGCUGACCUCUGCGACUUCCCCACAUGUGGGAAACUCGGAUGUACAAUUUAUGGUAGUGGGGGACUGCGUGCACGUUUUCCCCUC